UACGAAGGGGCUAGCGUUGCUCGGAAUGACUGGGCGUAAAGGCGCGUAGGCGGUUUGGACAGUCAGAUGUGAAAUUCCUGGCUCAACCUGGGGCUGCAUUUGAUACGUUCGGACUAGAGUGGGGAAGAGGGUCGUGGAAUUCCCAGUGUAGAGGUGAAAUUCGUAGAUAUUGGGAAGAACACCGGUGGCGAAGGCGGCGACCUGGUCCUUGACUGACGCUGAGGCGCGAAAGCGUGGGGAGCAAACAGG
rnacentral:rRNA from 1 species